rnacentral:lncRNA from 1 species
UUUGCAACAUGGAUGAACCUCGAUGUCAUUAUGCUAAGUGAAACAAGCCAGACACAGCAAGAAAAAUACUGCAUGAUCUCUUAUGUGGAUUCUAAAAAAGUCAAAUACAUAGAAGCAGAGUAGAACAGUGGUUACCAGGGGUGGAGACGUAUGGAAAUGGUUAAGAUGUUGGUCAAAGGAUACAAAGUUGCAGUUCUAUAGGAUGAAUAAGUCUAGAGAUGUAAUGCAUAGCAUAACUAUAGUUAAUACUGCAUUGUGCAUUGGAAACUUGCGGAGAGUACAUUUCAUGCGCUCUCACCACUUACACAAAAUAGUAACUGUGAAGAGAUGUAUUAUGUUAAUUAGCUUGACUGUAGAAAUCAUUUCACUGUGUACAUGUAUCAAAACAUCAUGUUGUACACCUUAAAUAUAUAGUUUUUAUUUUUAAAACACUGUUUGGGAUUAAAAGCCCAGCUAAUUCUGCCUUAAUAUCUCAUUCUUAUCCACAAUGUCCACCCAUAAGAAAGACGCCCGAUACUCCGUGUAAACACACACUCCCCAUCUCCCAUACAAAUUUACCUUCUAGAGAGAGCCCUUUUCCCCAAACUCUCCUCUCAAAACACUCUGAAGCACAAGGUCUUUAGCCUAGUUAGACAUUUUCUGAAAAACUUAGUUUAACUCAGCGUAGAGACACCAUGAAUUUCAGAGACCCAGUCCUGGGCCUGCUUCAGUUGCUUUAGCCUAGAGUUUCAACUCCCAGGUCCCGGGGAGGGAUGCUCCAAGGAAGAAAUAGAGGCCCUAUUCCAGGGCUGUUUCUCGCAGACUAGCCACAGAAAAUGCAGCCCAGCGCCACUUCCUUUCAGUAGCAACACGUUUCCAACACGUUUGUUAAGCGGGAACGGAAGUGAGCGGAAAGGAAUGCGUUUGGUAAAUCCCACUUUAAGGAUUUCGUAAUCCUCCCAGGGAUUCCCACCACCCGCACUCCACUCGCAGACUGCGGGCCUUCCUCCGACGCUGGGAGAAGGACCCUGGGAGAGGCAAGGGAAGGGCUCCGGAACCAGCGCAGCAGCGGGACGCUAGCCCGCCCACACGGCGGCCACUUGAAGGACCGGUGGCUCCCGUGGAGACCGCAGCGGAACCCAGUCCGCCUUCGCACGCGUCCGGGGGAGAAGCGGCCCCAGGACUAAGGGCGCGCGCCCGAGGAACCGGUGCUGUGACGACCAGAGCAAACACGCCGGAUGUUCCUGUGUAGGCUGUGUAAGGAGUGACCGGAAGUAGAAACUGGGUGCUCCAGUGGCGCAAUCGCCUUUUUAGAACCAAGCAACGCCAAUUACCAACAAAAUCCGUUGCGCCGCAGUGAGUUAGCUACCUUCUAUCUCCACUUUGUUCUGCACGUCGAUCUCAGCCCAGGCAGUAAGAAAACAUAUCAGCUUCCACUUUUACCUUUAAGGAGAAGCCAGCUCCCAUGUUAAGAAGUUCAAAUACCUAGAGACUGCGAUGGUUUGCAGAGGCUCAAGCUAACCACAUGGAAAGACAUGGAGAGAUAUUCCUUGCCAACCCUCAACUACUCCAACUAUUCUAAGACAUCAAACCUGUCACCCACCGGUCUGAAGAGGAGGAUGAGAGACAAAGAAAAAAGUUGUCUGGCUGCCUCUGCUGUCUACAGAUUGAAGAAGAUCCAUCCAGCUGAGCCCAGCCUAGACCAGCUGACUUCUCCAAUAAGCCUGUAUGAAAUAAAUGCUUAUUGUUAUGUGACCUUGAGCUUUGAAGAUAGUUUGUUAUGCAAUAAUUGUUGAUUCUUUCACCCUGUCUUUGUUGAACUGUUAUAGACGUCUUAAUAGGAGUUCACAAUUCAG